ACCUGCUGCUGAGAGAAAAUGAAGCAUCAAUGGAUAUUAUGGGAACUGCUCUGAGGCAGCUUGUAGUAGUGAAAGGCUUUCCAGCAGCUGCUGGAAAAGAGCACUGAGAAGAUCAUCAAGUCCUUUAAGAUCCCUACGAGACAGGGCCUCAGUUUUGCACCUUAAUAGAAGCAUAUCCGAAAAGUUCAGCACAGGACAUCUCGUGCACAUCUGCUCCAUUUUGAAAGUAAACUUCCUAUCAAAUGUAAAGUCCAGUUCCUGAACAUCAUUCUGAUGCUAUUGGAAAUUGCAGUCGCCCUGUGAAGUGGUUGAGGCUGAACAUAGCAGCUCACGGUGCAAACGUGCUGAAGACUUUGCGCUGCUUCUGGGGCCUCAGCUGCUGCCUGGAGCCUGCCAAGCUGGAAGCAGGUGGUGAUGCUGGCCAGCCUAGGGGUUCCUUCCAGGAGGAGAGUUCUGUGCCAAUUGAUGCCUUAACUUAGAAGAAAUGAUCACAAAGACACUCGUCACUUUCCAGCUAAUACCAUGCUGUUUGCAAAUGGAACAGGAGAAAACCUCUGCAUCUCAGAGGCUCUGACAGG